GACAGAGGAUGCAAGUGUUAUUCGGAAUGAUUGGGCGUAAAGAGUCUGUAGGCGGUUUAGAAAGUCUUUUGUGAAAUACUUCAGCUCAACUGAGGCUCCGCAAAAGAAACUUCUAGACUUGAGGAAAGUAGAGGUACAGGGAAUUUCCGGUGGAGCGGUGAAAUGCGUAGAUAUCGGAAGGAACACCAAUAUGGCGAAGGCACUGUACUGGGCUUUUCCUGACGCUAAGAGACGAAAGCUGAAGGAGUGAUUAGGAUUAGAUACCCUAGUAAUUUCAGCCGUAAACGAUGAAAACUCACUGUCGAGCCAAUAUAUGGAGCGGUGGUCAAGCUAACGCGUGAAGUUUUCCGCCUGGGGAUUACGCUUGCAAAAGUGAAACUCAAAGGAAUUGACGGGGACCCGCAUAAGCGGUGGAGUAUGUGGUUUAAUUCGAUGCAACGCGAAAAACCUUACCAGGGUUUGAAAUAAUUUCAAAACUUCUUGAAAGAGAAGCCUCCUUCGGGAUGGAAUUACAGGUGGUGCAUGGCUGUCGUCAGCUCGUGUUGUGAAAUGUCAAGUUAAGUCUUGUAACGAGCGCAACCCAUGUCUCUUGUUGCUGUUUACAGUGCUUAAGAGAAACUGCCGAUCAACAUCGGAGGAAGGUGUGGAUGAUGUCAAGUCAGCAUGCCCCUUACAUCCUGGGCUACACACGUACUACAAUGGUCGAGACAAAGGGUCGCUAACCUGCAAAGGCAUGCCAAUCUCAUAAACUCGAUCUCAGUUCGGAUUGUACUCUGCAACUCGAGUACAUGAAGGUGGAAUCGCUAGUAAUCGCUGGUCAGCAUACAGCGGUGAAUACGUUCCCGGGUCU
rnacentral:rRNA from 1 species